GAGGGUAUAGCUCAAUGGCAGACCACGUGCUUAGUAUGCACAAGGUCCUGGGUUCAAUCCCCAGUACCGCUA
rnacentral:tRNA from 1 species